rnacentral:rRNA from 1 species
GACGAACGCUGGCGGCGUGCUUAACACAUGCAAGUCGAACGGAGUGGCGAACGGGUGAGUAACACGUGGGUGAUCUGCCUUGCACUUCGGGAUAAGCUUGGGAAACUGGGUCUAAUACCGGAUAGUGCAAGAUGAGCUCGCGGCCUAUCAGCUUGUUGGUGGGGUAAUGGCCUACCAAGGCGUCGACGGGUAGCCGGCCUGAGCGGGUGUACGGCGACAUGGGGACUGAGAUACGGAGCAGACUGCGACGGGAGGCAGGAGUGGGGAAUAGUGCACAAUGGGCGGAAGCCGGAUGCAGCGACUCCGCGUGUGGGAUGAAGGCCUUCGGGUUGUAAACUACUUUCGACAGGGCCGCGGUACCUAUAUAGGAAGCACCGGCUAACUACGUGCCAGCAGCCGCGGUAAUAC